rnacentral:rRNA from 1 species
UACGGAGGGUGCAAGCGUUAAUCGGAAUUACUGGGCGUAAAGCGCACGCAGGUGGCUGAGUCAGUCGAUUGUGAAAGCCCUGGGCUUAACCUGGGAAUUGCAGUCGAUACUACUCAGCUAGAGUAUGGGAGAGGGCAGUGGAAUUCCCGGUGUAGCGGUGAAAUGCGUAGAUAUCUGGAGGAAUACCGGUGGCGAAGGCGGCAUCCUGGACCGACAUUGACGCUGAACGGCGAAAGCUAGGGGAGCAAACAGG